UCCGGAUUUAUUGGGCGUAAAGCGAGCGCAGGCGGUUAGAUAAGUCUGAAGUUAAAGGCUGUGGCUUAACCAUAGUACGCUUUGGAAACUGUUUAACUUGAGUGCAGAAGGGGAGAGUGGAAUCCAUGUGUAGCGGUGAAAUGCGUAGAUAUAUGGAGGAACACCGGUGGCGAAAGCGGCUCUCUGGUCUGUAACUGACGCUGAGGCUCGAAAGCGUGGGGAGCAAACAGGAUUAGAUACCCUGGUAGUCAAGGGCGAAUUCGC
rnacentral:rRNA from 1 species